AGCAGCAUUGUACAGGGCUAUC
rnacentral:ncRNA from 17 species